AAAGAAGAAACAAAGAAAAAGUGUAAACAGAACGUUUUAGAUCAGAGCAACCAACUUUACACACAUACUGGGGGCUCCAAAAUAUUGGCAAGAAAAAAAGACGAAGUGGAGAAAGAGCAAGGAAGGCUCGUUGGUAGAGGAG